ACUUUGUGUGAGAUAGACUGGCCAGCAUUAGAGGUGGGUUGGCCAUCAGAAGGAAGCCUGGACAGGUCCCUUGUCGUGAAGGCACGGCACAGGGUAACCUGUUAGUCAGGGUACCCAGAUCAGUUCCCAUAUAUAGAUUCUUUGUUACAGCUAGUUUUGAACCCCUCACAGUGGUUAAGAGGGCAGGCAGCAGCAGUACUAGUAGCAAAGGGACAGUUAGUUAAGGAAGGUCUUCGCUCCACCUGCCGAGGGAAGUCAGCACCAAAAAGUCCUGUCCGACCCAACACCAGAAGAAUCAUGGCAGGAACUGGUACCAGCAAUACCCCCUCUUUAUCGGGAGGUAGAGCUCCCCACCCCUGAGCCCACAACACCUCCACCUCCACCAGAUGACCACACCCCUAGACCACCCAGAGUAGACAAGAGAGGAAGUGAAGCUGUGGGAGAAACUCCUCCCUUGGCAGCUCGCUUGCAACCCAAAACUGGAAUCCAAAUGCCCCUGAGAGAGCAGCGAUAUACUGGGGUAGAUGAGGAUGGACACAUGGUGUAAAGGCAUGCCUUUCAACCUUUCACCUCUGCUGACCUCCUCAAUUGGAAAAAAAAAUAAUACUCCAUCUUACACUGAAAAGCCUCAAGCUUUAAUUGACUUGCUCCAAACUAUUAUACAGACUCAUAAUCCUACUUGGACUGAUUGCCACCAGCUGCUCAUGUACCUCUUUAAUACAGAUGAAAGGCAAAGGAUGCUCCAGGCGGCAACUAAGUGACUAGAGGAGCAUGUCCCAGCCGAUUACCAAAACUCCCAAGAAUAAAAAAUAGAAAAAACUAGCUGGGCGAGGUGGGGGGCGCCUGUAGUCCCAGCUACUUCCGGAGGCUGAGGCAGGAGAAUGGCAUAAACCUGGGAGGCAGAGCUUGCAGUGAGCUGAGAUCCGGCCACUGCACUCCAGCCUGGGCGACAGAGCGAGACUCCAUCUCAAAAAAAAAAAAAAAAAAAAGAAUUCAACUGCCAGGAACAGACCCCCAAUGGGACCCGGAUGAGGGACCAGACAUGGAGAGGCUAAUAUGGUACCAUGAGGCAUUAAUAGAAGGUCUAAAGAAAGGGGCUCAAAAGGCUACAAAUGUAAAUAAGGUCUCUGAGGUCAUCCAAGGAAAAGAGGAGAGUCCAGCGCAAUUCUAUGAAAGACUGUGUGAGGCUUACAGUAUGUAAACUCCUUUUGAUCCAGAUAGCUGUGAAAAUCAGCGCAUGAUUAACAUGGCCUUAGUUAGUCAAAGCACAGAUGAUAUCAGGAGAAUAUUGCAGAAACAGGCUGGGUUUGCGGAUAUGAAUACCUCACAGUUACUGGAAAUAGCCAAUCAAGUGUUUGUGAAUAGAGAUGUAACAAGCCACAGAGAAAGCCAUAAGGAAGGUGAAUGCCAGGCUAGGUGAAACGCUGACUUACUGGCUGUGGCCAUUAAAGGGAAUUCCACUGAAAGGAAAGGGAAAGAGGGGUUCAGGGAAGAAUACCUAGUUUAAUCGCCCAUGCUUGCAACAUAACCAAUGCUCCUAUUGUAAGGAAAUAGGACAUUGGAAAGAUAAGUGUCCCCAACUGAAGGAAAAGUAAGGUAGUUUGGAACAAAAUACCUCAGAUAAAGGUGAGGGAGCUUUGUUAAAUCUGGCUGAAGGGCUACUGGACUGAAGGGGACCAGGCUCAAGUGCCCACAAGGAGCCCACGGUCAGGAUUACAAUUGGGGGCAAGGACAUUAAGUUUUUGGUCGAUACUGGUGCUGAACACUUCAGUAGUGACCACCCCGGUCACCCCCUUAUCCAAGAAACCCAUUGAUAUAAUUGGAGCAACAGGAGUUUCCACUAAGCAGGCUUUCUGUCUACCACGGGCCUGCUUGGUGGGGGGACAUGAGAUAGUUCACCAGUUCUUGUACAUGCCUGGUUGUUCCUUGCCCUUGCUAGGAAGAGACUUGCUUAGCAAGCUGAGAGCCACCAUCUCCUUUACAAAACAGGGCUCUUUACAGCUAAAGUUACCGGGAACAGAGUUAUCACGGCCCUUACGGUCCCCCAGGAAGAAAGAUGGAGACUUUUUCUAACCAAGCCAGGCCAAGAGAUAAAACCAGCUCUGGUUAAGUGAUGGCCCUGAGUAUGGGCAGGGGAUAACCCUCCGGGACUGGCGGUCAACCAAGCCCCCGUACUCAUGGAAGUUAAGGCUGGGGCCCAACCAAUUAGACAAAAGCAGUAUCCAGUUCCCAGAGAAGCUCUCGAAGGAAUCCAGGUUCAUCUCAGGUGCUUGAAAGCCUAUGGAAUUAUAGUUCCUUGCCAGUCUCCAUGGAACACCCCCCUCCUGCCUGUCCCUAAGCCAGGGAACAAGGACCACCGGCCAGUACAGGACUUGCGCUUGGUCAACCAAGCUACAGGGACUCUGCACCCAACAGUUCCUAACCCUUACACAUUGUUAGGGCUGCUGCCAGCUGAGAACAGCUGGUUUACCUGUCUGGAGUUAAAAGAUGCCUUCUUUAGCAUCAGAAUAGCUCCUGAGAGCCAGAAGUUAUUUGCCUUUCAGUGGGAAGAUCUGGAGUCAGGUGUCACUACUCAGUACACUUGGACCCGGCUUCCCAAAGGGUUCAAGAACUCCCCUACUAUCUUUGGGGAGGCCCUGGCUUGAGACCUGCAAAAGUUUCCUGCUAAAGACCUACGCUGCGUCUUGCUCCUGUACGUGGAUGACCUUCUGCUGGGACACUCCAUGGCAGUUGGGUGCGCAAAAGGGACUGAUGCCCUGCUUUGGCACCUGGAGGACUGUGGGUAUAAGAUGUCCAAGAAGAAAGCUCAGAUCUGCAGACAGCAGGUACGCUACCUGGGAUUCACUAUUCAGAAAGGGGAGUGCAGCCUGGGGUCAGAAAGAAAGCAGGUCAUCUGCAGCCUACCAGAACCUAAAACCAGAAGGCAAGUAAGGGAAUUCCUAGGAGCUGUGGGGUUUUGCAGAUUAUGCAUUCCAAACUUUGCAGUACUAGCCAAACCUUUGUACGGGGUUACAAAGUGGGGUGACUGGGAGCCUUUUGAAUGGGGGUCUCUACAACAGCAAGCCUUUUGUAAGUUAAAGGAAAAAGUUUUGUUGGCCUCAGCCCUAGGACUACCCAAUUUGACAAAGCCCUUUACACUCUAUGUGUCAGAAAGAGAAAAAAUGGCAGUUGGAGUUUUAACCCAGACUGUGGGGCCCUGGCCAAGGCCAGUGGCCUAUCUCUCAAAACAACUAGAUGGAGUUUCCAAAGGCUGGCCACCAUGUCUAAGGGCCCUGGCAGCAACAGCCCUGUUAGCACAAGAAGCAGAUAAACUAACCCUUGGGCAAAACUUGAAUAUAAAGGCUCCCCAUACUGUGGUAACUUUGAUGAAUACCAAAGGGCAUCAUUGGCUAACAAAUGCUAGAUUAACCAAGUACCAAAGCUUGCUAUGUGAAAAUUCCCACAUAACUGUUGAGGUCUGUAACACCCUAAACCCCGCCACCCUGCUCCCAGUAUCAGAGAGCCCAGUCGAGCAUAACUGUGUUGAGGUAUUGGACUCAAUCUAUUCUAGCAGACCUGACCUUCAGGACCAGUCAUGAACAUCAGUAGACUGGGAGUUAUACAUGGAUGAGAGCAGCUUCAUUAACCCACAAGAAGAAAGAUGGGCAGGAUAUGAGGUGGUAACUUUGGAUACUGUCAUUGAAGCCAAACUAUUGCCACUGGGCAUUUCAGCCCAGAAGGCUGAUCUCAUUGCUUUAACUCGGGCUCUAGAACUCAGUGAAGGUAAGACGGUAAACAUCUACACUGACUCUCGAUAUGCCUUUCUAACCCUCCAAGUGCAUGGAGCAUUAUAUAAGGAAAAGGGUCUGUUAAACUCUGGGGGAAAGGACAUAAAACAUCAACAAGAAAUUCUACGAUUAUUAGAGGCAGUGUGGAAACCUCAGGGGAUGGCAGUCAUGCACUGCAGGGGACACCAGCGAGCCUCCAUCUCAGUGGACUUAGGAGACUCUCGAGCUGAUUCAGAAGCUCAAAAAGCAGCAUCUACCCCUUACCGGGCAUCAGUAGUAGCCCCCUUACUCCCUCAAACACCUGACCUGGUACCUACCUAUUCUAAGGAAGGAAAAGACUUCUUCCAAGCAGAAGGGGGGCAAGUAAUAAAAGGAGGAUGGAUCAGACUGCCAGAUGGGAGGAUAGCUGUGCCAUAGUUGCUGGGAGCCACAAUAGUAUUGGCUAUGCACAAAACCACUCACCUAGGUCAAGAGUCACUUGAAAAAUUGUUAGGUCGGUACUUCUACAUCUCACACUUGCCAGCCCUUGCCAAAGCAGUAGCAUAACGGUGCGUUACUUGCCGACAGUACAAUGCGAGGCAAGGCCCUAGUGUUCCACCCAGCAUACAAGCUUAUAGAGCAGCUCCUUUUGAAGAUCUUCAGGUGGAUUUCACAGAAAUGCCAAAAUGUGGAGGUAACAAGUAUUUGCUGGUUCUUGUGUGUACUUACUCUGGGUGGGUGGAGGCUUAUCCAACACGAACUGAAAAGGCCUAUGAGGUAACCCGUGUGCUUCUCUGAGAUCUUAUUCCUAGGUUUGCACUGCCCUUACGAAUCAGCUCAGAUAACGGGCCGGCAUUUGUGACUGAGUUGGUACAGAAGACAGCAAAAGCAUUAGGAAUCACCUUGGAAGCUACAUGCCGCCUACCGACCUCAAAGUUCAGGAAAGGUGGAGCAAAUGAAUCGAACUGUCAAAAAUAGUUUAGGGAAAAUAUGUCAGGAAACAGGAUUAAAGUGGAUAAAGGCCCUUCUUAUAGUAUUGUUUAAAAUUAGGUGCACUCCUUCUAAGAAAACAGGAUACUCCCCUUAUGAAAUACUGUAUCAUAGGCCUCCUCCUAUACUACAGGGGCUUCCAGGCACUCCCCGAGAGUUAGGUGAAGUUGAAUUACAGCGAUAGCUACAGGCUUUAGGAAAAAUUGCACAAACAAUCUCAACUUGGGUAAAUGAGAGGUGUCCCAUCAGCUUAUUCUCCCCAGUUCACCCUUUCUCUCCAGGUGAUCGCGUGUGGAUCAAGGACUGGAACGUAGCCCCUUUGCAGCCACAGUGGAAAGGACCUUAGAUCAUCAUCCUGACCACCCCCAUGGCUGUAAAGGUAGAAGGAAUCCCAACCUGGAUCCACCACAGCCGUGUGAAACCUGCAGCCGAUGAAACCUGGGAGGCAAAACUGAGCCCGGACAACCCCUGCAAAGUGACUCUGAGAAGGACGACAAGCCCUGCUCCAGUCACACCCAGAAGCUGACUGGUCUAUGCACGGCCGAAACAUGAGGAGAAUCAUCGUGGAACUCAUUUUCCUUAUAAUUUGGACUUGUAUAGUGAAAACUUCCACUGAUUUUCCCUGCGUGGAAGACUGCUCUCAGUGUAUACAUGAGGUUACCGAGUGUCUGAGGAGUUUUGUCUGCGGCUCAUCCUGCUACAAUACCAGCGCCUGUUCCGGUGGAGGUGGUGGAGGGUGAAAUGGACUCCAUGAAGAUCGUUGGCUUUGAUCUUCAGCUUCUCCAGUGGGGGUGUGUGUUCCAGAGAGAAGAGUCUCCUUUUCCCACUUCUGCAGUUGGGGCAGAAUAUUUGGAGUGUUUCCUGGGUCCUGCAGGAGCAGUCCACUUCCUUCAGAUGGUCUGUGGGUCCUCUCAGGAUUCAUCGUGUAAUAUUUUGAAACACUACAUAAUUAUUUCAAGAUUCUAACAUAUGCAAUCUAAUCCUUAUGA